rfam:Camelus ferus unplaced genomic scaffold scaffold2513, whole genome shotgun sequence.
GAGGGUAUAGCUCAGUGGUAGAGUGUGUGCCUAGCAUGGACAAGGUUCUGGGUUCAAGCCCCAGUACUUCCA